rnacentral:rRNA from 1 species
UAGGAAGGGGGCUAGCGUUGUGCGGAAUCACUGGGCGUAAAGCGCACGCAGGCGGAUCGAUAAGUCGGGGGUGAAAGCCCGGGUCUCAACCUCGGAAUUGCCUUCGAUACUGUCGGUCUCGAGUCCGGGAGAGGUGAGUGGAAUUCCUAGUGUAGAGGUGAAAUUCGUAGAUAUUAGGAAGAACACCAGUGGCGAAGGCGGCUCACUGGCCCGGUACUGACGCUCAGGUGCGAAAGCGUGGGGAGCAAACAGG